CCAUAGAGCGUGCCGGGGGGGAAAACCAGUCACUCGUAUAAAACCGUAGACCGAGUCACGGCUCGAGUCAGUUUCGCUCGCGCCUCGCGUGUGUUUCGGUUCGCGUUUCUACUCGUCCGAGCGAGUACCAGAGUACCCCCCGAAGUCGGUCAGUGAAUUCCAAACAGUGAGUUCUCGUGAACGUCGUGAACUCGUGAUUUGUCGCCUGCCUGUCCACAGCCAAAGUUGGCCAAAUUCAUCAUCAAGUUUGACGAGGCUUUCGUCACACGGCGAAGAGAGGUGAAGUUGAGAAAUCGAUGAGAAUCGAAGGAGGAACGACGAACGAGCCUCUGUUGUUAUCGUCAUUAUUUUAUCAUGGUCGGCAAGAGAGAUCACCGAUUUGAUACGUAAUAUACGCCGUGAUAUUCGUCGAUCCUCGAGCGGUUUCUUUCGUCAGCGACUUUCUCGGAGCAAUAACAUCGGUUGGCGAGAAAAUUAGAGAGAAAAUUGGGAGCAAGAGACCAAGACGAAGGUGACGGAAGACACAGCACUUUCCCGGAGGUGGGAAGGUCAGAGGUCGGAAAAGUGCGAGUCACGAGAGAGUUUUUCAAUUAACGUCGCGGAUCGUCGCGUGGAGACUAACCUCGCGGGCGACUAGCGUUCGAUCGGAAGCGUUCCGGUCUGAUCGACCGGAAGCGUCGAACGUCAUCCUCCUCGUGCCGCGUGUACGUGCAACGAGUCCGAGUCUGCGAGUGAAAAAAAAAAAGAAAAAAAAGAAAGAAAGAAAGAAACCUCGCUGGGAAUGAUUUAAUUAAACGAACUGGCGAGUAAACUCGAGAGAUAGCGAGUGGCAGCUCCUCGAACGGAGCCAGCAGUUUCCACCGCCGCGAUAACCAAGUUUCCAACCGGCGAAACGGCCAGAGGAGGGGGGGGGAAGAUCCUUCCAGGGAACUCGGAGUGAAGCGCUGGCUUGGAAAAGCGAUUAUCGAACCGGCCUGCCUAUUAAUUACCGGAAUUGCACAGGGAAUUUCCGCGUGGCGCGCGGUAUCGAGGUGGAAGCGAAAUAAAGAAGAGGAGGACGACUUCACGGUUCGCCGAGAGAGACGCGAUCUCGCCGAUUCACGACGACGUUUGCUCGCGGAAUAGAAAAAGCACUUGGCGAGGUUUCGACGGAGAAAUUUGUUUGCCGCGAGAGAGAGAGAAGACGACCAAAGUGGAUUUUGCUCGAGCGUGUAUACGUGUUUGAUACGUGGUGGUGUUUCGAGAAGUGAAGGAGGUGGUGGAGAAGCCGUCGAACGACAAAGUUAUUAGCGAGAAGAGCGUCGUUUCUAGCGGAGGCACGGUGUGAGAAAGAGUGUUAAUCAGCGACGGCGGCGGCGGUGGCGGCGGGAGGAUAUAAUGGCGGUUCGUUGAGAGCUGGUACACACGGAGGGAAGGUCACGACGUUCGUUCACUCAGACGACCUGGUAUGACGUGACGAGAGGAGAACGCUUUGGUGCACUUCCAUCGGCGAGUAUUCCACAAAGGAAAUCCAUCAUGAGAGCGUCUCGAGUAGCUGCGCUGCUGUUGAUCCUCUGUUACGCCAUCGAAAGGGAAGCUGAAGGGGUGACUGAAGGGGUUGUUGCAAUGAGGACCGAGCAUUAUUUUUGAAUAAUCUUAGUAAAUCGAUAGAAAAGGAAUUAAAGAUCAGACAGG